GACGAACGCUGGCGGCGUGCCUAAUACAUGCAAGUAGAACGCUGAAGGAGGAGCUUGCUUCUCUGGAUGAGUUGCGAACGGGUGAGUAACGCGUAGGUAACCUGCCUGGUAGCGGGGGAUAACUAUUGGAAACGAUAGCUAAUACCGCAUAAGAGUAGAUGUUGCAUGACAUUUGCUUAAAAGGUGCAAUUGCAUCACUACCAGAUGGACCUGCGUUGUAUUAGCUAGUUGGUGGGGUAACGGCUCACCAAGGCGACGAUACAUAGCCGACCUGAGAGGGUGGUCGGCCACACUGGGACUGAGACACGGCCCAGACUCCUACGGGAGGCAGCAGUAGGGAAUCUUCGGCAAUGGACGGAAGUCUGACCGAGCAACGCCGCGUGAGUGAAGAAGGGUUUCGGAUCGUAAAGCUCUGUUGUAAGAGAAGAACGAGUGUGAGAGUGGAAAGUUCACACUGUGACGGUAGCUUACCAGAAAGGGACGGCUAACUACGUG
rnacentral:rRNA from 1 species